rnacentral:lncRNA from 1 species
CAGAAAUCCGGUGGACAGGUCCAGUGGCUGUGUUUGCCAGCAGCAGAGCUGUGCAUUUAUAGCCAGAUUUAACUCUGGGAUAAAUAAAUCAGACUGUGUCCUCAGAGCACCGCUGUAAUGGGAUGCUAAUCCCGGGAAAAGGGCUGCUUUUCCUCCACGUGCCUCUUCCAGCAUCAGCAUCCCUAGGUUAUUCUCACAGAGAGGGCUUAGGAAUGCAGAUGUUUCUGCUUUGUGCUUCCUCUCUCCCAAACUCAUAAAGCAGAGGAAGGAGUUCAUUGCCCGCAAGGACCCAGCAGGAUUUUGCUUCCCACCCCAGCUGCUUUUGGGGAGCCCUUUUCCCAUGACCUCCAUCCCCAGGCAGUGCUUCCCAAAGCCCUUCUCCAGGGAUGCUGCUGCAGGGUGCCAGCACAGAGCCAUAUCCUUACAUCAAAUCCUAAUUCCACCCCAAAUGGAUGUGACAGGAAAAGACCAAAACUUCCCCAAAACAUCUCAGUCAAGGCAUCACCAGGAGCUGCAGGGAGCAAAGCCACCUUCCCCAAGAGCUGCCUGAGCAGGCACCCCCAGGGCUCCUUUUCCCUUUUCCCUUCCCUUUUCCCUUUUCCCUUUCCCUUUUCCUUUUCCUUUUCCUUUUCCUUUUCCUUUCCCUUUUCCUUUUCCUUUCCCUUUCCCUUUCCCUUUCCCUUUCCCUUUUCCCUUUUCCCUUUUCCCUUUUCCCACCUUUUCCCUUUUCUCUUUCCCUUUUCCCUUCCCUUUUCCCUUUCCUUUUCCCUUCCCUUUUCCCUUUUCCUUUUCCCUUUUCCCGGGAAGGCUGUGGUGGAGCUGGAAGCAAACAAUUUCCUGGGUGGGUGGGGACCUGUAAAUGCAGCCGGGAGUUUCCGUGCAGUGAGCCUGGGAAACCACCAGGUGCUGUGGAUGCUGUGCUUAGCACUUGAGCCUGUCUGCUGAGCCGAGCCUAAUUCCAGGCACAUUUCCCAUCCUUGCUUAGGAUGUGCAGCCCUCCAGCACCCC